AGGAAAGUGGCAAAAGUAACUCCUUUUAGUAUAGACCAAAACAUCCGCCCCGCUGAUAGGCAACUGGUGUUUG